GGCGGAUGCCUAGGCUCUCAGAGACGACGAAGGACGUGAUAAGCUGCGAAAAGCUACGGGGAGGGGCACAUACCUUUUAAUCCGUAGAUAUCCGAAUGGGGCAACCCGGCAUGUUGAAGACAUGUCACCUAGCAAUAGGAGUAAACCCGGUGAACUGAAACAUCUAAGUAACCGGAGGAAGAGAAAACAAUAGUGAUUCCGUUAGUAGUGGCGAGCGAACGCGGAUUAGCCCAAA
rnacentral:rRNA from 12 species